rnacentral:tRNA from 1 species
UUAUAUCCAAUAAAUCUAAUUAUUUCUAAAAGUUUCAAAAACUUCUGUACAAGCAAUACUUGAAUAUA